AAUUGUUCUUCAAGACAGAGCAAGGAGGGAUCUCAGAUCUUCUGUGAAGUAACUUGAACUCCUCCAAGUCAGGUCACUCCUGACUGGCUAUAGAGAUUAGUAACCAAUGUUGGGACCAGUGAGGGAAGGUGGAACAAACCAAGGGCAACAUUUGCUCCUUGCACCCAGGCCCAUCCUUACUCAUCCUAAAACAGCACUGGGAAAGGCUAGAUAAUCCAAGCAAGUAAUAACACCUGAAGUGGAACAAGACUGCCUUGCUUUAGUCACAGUUAAAGCCCUGGUACUCUGGCUAUGCCACUUUAAUAGGAUGCAGGCAGCACCUAGGUACAAGUCUGUUUUGACAGCUCAGAGGGCUCAACCCUAAACAUUUGAUCACAAAAGUGCCCCAGCUGUAGGGGAUCCUGUCUGGGUUAAAGUAUCCCUUCUCUAACUGCUUGUCACCACUGCUUGCCCACAUCCCAUUACCAUCCUAAAUCUUCUGCCGCCUUUUCCAGGACAGUCCUGAGACCUGUUACACAAAAAUGGAUCCACUCCAGGCAGAGGUACUGGCCUCCAUUGUGAUAGGUAUCUCUUAGAGCCAUGGCAAGGAUACAGUCCACAGAAGCAAGUUCUAGCCAGCAAGAUCUCAAAAUUGCAAGACAAGAUUUAUUUUCAGUGAUUUUUAAACAUUACAAGUGUAAAGACUUAAAAUAGAAUGUCUGACAAAUCAGCCUCUCUACACCACCUGUGAGUCUUCAGGGACUGUUAGACUGCACCAGAAUCAACAAGAAAUAUUUUAUAAUUUAGAAGAUAAUUAAAUCCAGGAACAUUUAUUUAUCAAACUUAUUAAAAUACCAGUGUUGUAUAA